GUCCCCUCGCCUCCGCUUACACCUACACCGACAGCGGCCGUGCUCCCGCGCCCCGCCCACAGAUGAGCGGCGUCCAAUCCCGGGCGGCCAUGGGCGGAGCCACAACUGUCAUCAGUGGAACCGACUUGAAGUCCGGCCCUCCAACGGUCUGAGGGACCGUGAACUGGCACCACGUUUAAAAAGUUUGAGGACCCCUGUUCUACAGGAAUGCUUUUAUCUGGUAACAUAAAAUUUAUAAAGAGCUUGAGAGGAUCUGAAGAGAAGAAUAGCAGAAAAUCCCCAAAUCUCUGUGUGAAAACCUUGUGACAUCAUACUGAAGAAGACCGGAUGCUGUAAUCUUUGCCAAUGCUGCCUUCAACUAAGUUUUUCCUUUUCAAUAAAUGAGCAAAGAUUUGUCACUGUAUUAUUAUGGGGUAUUGGGUGCAGGCUGAUGGUGAUGAUGUGUUAUCUUAGCACAAGGCCACAAUAAAACAAAAUGUGAAAAAAGUGAAAGAGUCUGAAACUUUCCCCAUGCACUGUACAACAGUCUCUAGAGUUCACAGGCAAUGGUGCUAAUGCCAGGUCAGAGGAGAUGACUGGAUUCAUUUAAGCCAACAAGAAGGUGUCAGUAGGCUCAAUAACCGAGCGUUUAAAAAGUGAUAUUCAGAGGAACAUAUGUAAGCACACAGAACAUUAAAACCUAACAGGUAGCAGAAGACAACACUGGGUUCUAGCUAUGCUCAUCUUUUGAGGAUUUAUGCAUAUGUGACAUGUCACAGUUUUGUAGCUGCAAUGACUGUGCUGUGGGAAUGAAGCCUAAUGGCUACAAAGUAGUGGAGGAUUAGGACAAUGACAUAAGUGUACUCCAAAGGCCUACAGGGUCUAUAAAUGUCAUCUUCAUAGAGAAUCUUUUAGAUAUAGCAGAAUGAAAGAUUCAAAACAAAAUCGUAGCUUACAAAUUUGCAGCAAUUUGCCAAGGCAACUGUGCAAUGUCCAGUGAGUUCUGUGCAUGAGCCCUUAUCUAAUUAAUAGGACUCGUGCAUAGAACUCACUGGGCAUUGUACAGAAGACUCAGCAACUCUGACUGCCCAGGGUAUGCAGGGUCUCUCCACCCUGAACUUUGCAAAAUGGGCAGAAGAGCA